AAAACGGGGGGCGAAAUCGCAUCGAAACCCAUCAUCAUCGCUGCCGUAUAUAUUUUCAUGGCACAGUUUUUCUUAGAUCCUUUUUUUUCUUUUUCAUUACAGCCGAACGAUUUCAACUUUUUCUAUUUUCAACUUUUAAUUCCCCCCCGUCUUUUUAUUUUUGCUCAUUUUUCUUUGCUGCUAGCGCAAACAUUGACUCUUCUCUCAACGUCAUUAGGAAUUGAAGCUUGGCGUCUGUUUUUGUUCCGUCCUUUUUAUUGAUUGGCCUUGUAUCUAUCUAGCGCUCGUCGUGAAAAACAAACAAACAAAAAAAAAAAACGGAGUUAUCGCCCGUUUCCUUAGCGAUCGUCGACACAUAGUUAGAGCGCCAUCAAACAUCGAUGCAUUCAUCGUACACUCGCCAAACGAAAAUCUGCUCGUCUACUACCGUCUAUUUAAUUGACGUCUUUUAUUCGCGCUGCUGUCCUUCCACGUUCACCAACGUUUCACAGAGAACUGAUAGUUUGGCGCAUCCUGGCAAGGUGCCCAGCUAUUGCGGAAUGGAGUCUACUUGGCUCGUUACGGCUAACAGAAACUGUCUGCUUGCAUGAAAGGUGUCAACCAAGGUGAUCGGGGGUGCCUUGUUACCCGACCAUCCACACGCCGAUUGCCACGUACACGACAAACCGACCAACAGCAGCCAACCGCUAACCACCUUAAAGAAAAACGGCCAAUAAUGAGGUUAGUAUAAUCUUAUAGCGUACAGCUCGAAUGUCAUGCCGUUUUGUCAUGUCCGACAUGUAUACGCCACUGUAUAGUGACUUUUGUUAGCUGACAUACAGACACACAUAUUUUUAUGUGUAAGACUCGCAUUGGUAAUUGUCGGCCGUGCCUGGAGCAUUACAGGAACGCCCGGAGUGGGGGGGGGCCAGUUCCAGGUGGCUAUUCUCUUCCAGCCCAAACGAUUUUUCUUGCUUUCUUUCCGUCAUUAUUAAGAUCGAUUUCAACAUGUCCGGUCUGUGCCAUUACUACGCACGUACACGCAGGCGGACAGUAACGAAUGGCUAUUCGACAGGACGCAUAUAAUCCACACGGCUUUCGUAAUAUCUUGACUAUCGUAUAGUUUUCCCCAUUUUGAAACAGCGCAACGGAAAUAAGAAGAAGAAGAAGAAAAAAAAAAACUUUUUGAUUCUCUGCAAUUGUAGUUCCAAUGGGAAGGAUUUAGAAUCGAAGAUGGUAAUCAUCUUUAUUUAUUUUUUGCUUUUACGCUCCCUCUACCCUGAUCUCUGUGAAAGAAAGGAAAUGCAACGGAUGCGCGAGAUUUCCCUGUCGAUAGAUCUUACACUACGACUAGAAAAUGUCGAAAUGCCGUGGAUCCACUUCUAUUCACAUCGAUUUAUUGUUUAUCGGUCGAUUGAUGGAUGGCUGAAAGAUAAUGAUAGUAAAAGGCCGAGGAUUUCUGUCUCGAAAAACUAAUUCAAAUCAUCCCAAGUUUUUAAAUCGUGCGACGUUGUCGGUCCGCGCUGCCUCUUUCUAUCCGUCGUCAUUGCUUUUGACAGUUUACGUUUUCCGAACCGCGUUGGCCCGCAACAACAAACCUUUUCUCUGGAAAAUAAAAAAAUAAAACUACAUAUUUGAAGAGAUGAUAGGGUUGCGAGUAAGAUCAUGUAAAAGGCACGAAAGUAGGCGGGGAUAGGAAAAAAAAAUGAACGUAAAAAUGAAGGCUAUUGGGGUGUGUAAAUUUCAUUCAUCGAUCAGUGUCCGAGCCAUGCAAUUUUGCUGACGCUAAUGAUAGCCUUUUGGAAAAUAGCCGCCUUUAACCCUCCUCACUCUCCCCUUCAUCUGUCGAUUUCGUCGUCGUCGAUUUCUUCACUCACUUCCAACGUUAUUUUGGGUCAUUCUUUUGAUGCCCAUCGUCCGUUUCUUUCCUCCCUCUUUGUCUGAAUCGUUCACGCUCGUUCCAAAAUCGUUGCCCAUGUGCAAGUGCUUAUGUACAAAAACCGUCUGUCAUAUUGUCACUCUACUGGAAUCUUUUGCUUUAUAAACUGUGUGCAUGCUCAUGUGUCGCUGAUCGUUUUCUCUAUUUCUCCUUGGAAAUGGAUCGACUUCAAAAAUUCCGCAUCUUUCAAUUUUUAACUUCUCUUUGUUGAUCAUCUUUGAAGAUUUGUGAAUUAUUGGCAUGCCUUUGAAACCGAGAAAUAAUACAUUUGAUUUUAUUUUUUCAA